GGUUAGAGGUGGGAAAGGGUAGGAAGAAGAAUCUAAGGACAGGACCUGGAAGCGAGAUAUCUUCGAUUUUGAGAGACCCACUCUCUUGUCUCCUCAGAGUUAAAUAAAGACUCCAUCCAUCCGCUUGUCCUGCUGUUUGCAUGGUUAGUCCAGAGUCAAGAUCGUAUGGAAAUCUCAAACCCGAAACCUGGCUGGCCCUGGCGAACUUGUGAGGCGGAGGCCAGCGGGCUGCGGGGUUGGGGGAGGGGAGGGACAGGAAGGAGAGCGCCCCCAUUCCCAGCUGGGAGUCCAGGCGCCGGGAAACCACGGGAAAGUGCGGCGGGGACCGCGUGGCGGGGAGCCUACUCCGGAUCGAGAUUAUUCGACACGUGUCUUUUACUCCUUACAAUCCACUUCUUACGGGUGAUUUAUGAACGGACUUCUUUGAUCAGGGAUGGUUUUAUCUCUCCACUGCUACAAUUGACAGAUGCGGCUGCCAAAAUGCCUGGUCCUUGCUGCCUUAAAGGCUGCACCCCCACCCCUUCCCAAAUGUUGCAUUUUUCUCGGGCGAUCUCCAGCCGGGCCUCCAGGCUCUACUCCCCUACCCUCAACCCCGUUUGCUCUCUCAGCUGCAAUCCCAACCCCCCCGACCCCCCCAAGAUUUAAAUCAACAAAAACCGUUGGGACGGGUCAGUGGGGAGUCACGGCAAGCGGAUUUGGGGAACACCAUCUGCCCGGUGCUACAUUUGUUGCGUUCCCCUGCUAGAUACCCGGAAAGCUCGCUUCCAGGUGAAGCUUCCUGCCUUUGUAAGAAGGCAAGAACCUCUAGGCCCAAUCCCACUGGGCCUUGCUUUGUAGAAACGCGAACGCUGGAGCAGGAACGAAGAUGUGGUCAGCAGCCUCAGCCCGCCGGCCAGGGCUCCACACUACAACCGUUUUAGCUUAAUUGGGGUAAGAAGGGGCGGCAGGAAGAGGGAUGGGAUCACAUUACGGACCCUCCUAGUCCCUAAUAGGUAAAGGAAAAGCGGAAUCUCUGAAG
rnacentral:lncRNA from 1 species